CAAAGUGUAGCUUAAAUAAAGCAUCUGGCUUACACCCAGAAGACUCCAUACUAACAUGGCCACUUUGAGC
rnacentral:tRNA from 1 species